rnacentral:rRNA from 1 species
GACGGAGGGUGCAAGCGUUGUUCGGAUUGACUGGGCGUAAAGGGCGUGUAGGCGGUUGGUCAAGUCUGAUGUGAAAGCCCGGGCUCAGCUCCGGAAGGGCAUCGGAAACUAGCCAGCUGGAGCGCGAUAGAGGAGGGCGGAAUUCCUGGUGUAGCGGUGAAAUGCGUAGAUAUCAGGAGGAACACCGGCGGCGAAGGCGGCCCUCUGGAUCGAUGCUGACGCUGAGACGCGGAAAGCGUGGGGAGCAAACAGG